rnacentral:rRNA from 1 species
ACUGGGCGUAAAGGGCACGCAGGCGGUGACUUAAGUGAGGUGUGAAAGCCCCGGGCUUAACCUGGGAAUUGCAUUUCAUACUGGGUCGCUAGAGUACUUUAGGGAGGGGUAGAAUUCCACGUGUAGCGGUGAAAUGCGUAGAGAUGUGGAGGAAUACCGAAGGCGAAGGCAGCCCCUUGGGAAUGUACUGACGCUCAUGUGCGAAAGCGUGGGGAGCAAACAGGAUUAGAUACCCUGGUAGUCCACGCUGUAAACGAUGUCGAUUUGGGGGUUGAACUAUAAGUUUGGCGCCCGUAGCUAACGUGAUAAAUCGACCGCCUGGGGAGUACGGCCGCAAGGUUAAAACUCAAAUGAAUUGACGGGGGCCCGCACAAGCGGUGGAGCAUGUGGUUUAAUUCGAUGCAACGCGAAGAACCUUACCUACUCUUGACAUCCAGAGAACUUUCCAGAGAUGGAUUGGUGCCUUCGGGAACUCUGAGACAGGUGCUGCAUGGCUGUCGUCAGCUCGUGUCGUGAG